UUGGAGGGCAAGUCUGGUGCCAGCAGCCGCGGUAAUUCCAGCUCCAAUAGCGUAUAUUAAAGUUGUUGCCGUUAAAAAGCUCGUAGUCGAAUUUCGGCCUUUGCCGCCCGGUCCGCCUAUUUGGGUGUGUACUGGAGCGGUGGAGGCUUACCUCGUGGUGAGCUGUUAUGCCCUUUACUGGGUGUGGCAGGGAACCAUGAUUUUUACUUUGAAAAAAUUAGAGUGUUUAAAGCAGGC
rnacentral:rRNA from 1 species